rnacentral:rRNA from 1 species
UACGAAGGGGGCUAGCGUUGUUCGGAAUUACUGGGCGUAAAGCGCGCGCAGGCGGUCUUCCAAGUCAGUGGUGAAAGCCCGGAGCUCAACUCCGGAACUGCCAUUGAAACUGUGAGACUGGAGUACGAGAGAGGUGAGUGGAAUCCCAGUGUAGAGGUGAAAUUCGUAGAUAUUGGGAAGAACACCGAUGGCGAAGGCAGCCCCUGGGUCAAGACUGACGCUCAUGCACGA